CAGAACAGUAAAAUUUUGAACCUUUUCUUAAAUAAAACAUCAUUUAUUUAUAUAACUAAUAGACACAAACAAAGAUCGAAUUUAAAACUUAUAAAAGUAAACUUCCAUAAGAUGCCAUAUUCACAUGGCUUAUAUACAAUAGUCAAAAUAUCAUUCUACUUAUCGUCUAUCCUAUACAUGCCAUAAGCUAAGUCCAAAUCACAUGAUUACUACAAUAGUAGAUAGUGUGACGAAGUGCUGACGAUCCCCGAGCUAAUAGUAAGAGUCAACGAUCUACAAAAAUAAACAGAGAAACAUAACAUUCAAAGUAAGCUUUCAUAAGCUUAGUAAGUCUUAAGCAAUUUAAACAGUUGAACUUAAAAACAAACCAAAUGUUCGAAAUCACAUAACACUUUCUGAGUACAAUACUAUUUGGCUGAUUAUGCAUAAACACAUAUCAUUUUACUCCGUUUAUACUCAAACUCAUAUAAACAUAGUAUUUACAAGCUUCCGGAUUAACUUUAAUUCUUUCAAAUUUCACUAGUGUAUCAUUUCUUACCUACACUUACUUUCAACAUUCAUAGUUAAAUGGCAUAUCGAAAACUAUCUUGUAACUUUGCAUAAUAACUGAAUGCACACAUAUACAAAUAUACAUAUGAAUUUACAACAUCUUUUCAUAUGCUUCUCAUUACACAUUCUUAAUUCCCGUCAGAUCAAUCUCACAUAUACUAUAUAUAUAUCACAUACCUGAAUCACUUAAUGUGUAAUAUGAGUUCAAUUUAUCAUCUUAGCAUAGGAUCUCGUAGUCAUAUACUUUAUCAAAUUCACUAACACUUGGCCUUCGAGGUAUAAAACCCGAACAUAACACCAGCACGAAGUCUACAGGACUUUAAACUCAGAUAUAAUACCAGCACUAGGCUUGCGGGAUUUAACCCGGAUAUAAUUCCAGCAUUGUGGGAUUUAACUCGGAUAUAAUACCAGCACGAAGCCUGCGGGAUUUAACCUGGAUAUAUUACCAGCACGAAGCCUGCGGGAUUUAACCCGGAUAUAAUUCCAGCAUAUACCCUGCGGGUCUUUAAGCCCGGAUACACAUCAAAUAUCAUGCAUAUUUAAUCAUAUAUUAACACAUCUCAUUCAACAUAUCACAUUAGUAGUCAUUUGCUACAUUUGGAUAUAAGCUCCAUAUGAACACCAUCAUUUACAUUUCGGUUCAAAAGUCAUACAUAAAUAUCACAUAUCCAUUUCACCAUUCAAACUUAACCCAUAGUGACUAUUCGACUAUAAGUCAUAUACAUAAAUUAUUUAUCGCACAACUUAAUUCAAGUAGAACCAAAAGGUCACAAUUCACCUAAUAUAUACAUAUUGCUCACCGAUACGCACACAACCUUUCAGAUUAGCAAUUAUAAAUUGGUUCCGUACAUAGCCCAUCCUUAUCGAUAAUUUACGAUGGUUUUACCCUUACUCGCAUAUAUGACAUAGGCAUUUUUACCUAUGCUUCUCAAUUCACAUUCAUGAUUCAAUUCCAGUCGAUUUAACAUGCAUAAAUACAUAUCGCAUACCUGACCAACUUAAUGUAUUGAAUGAAAUCGAUUGUCGAUUUAACACUAGGUCUCAUAGUUGAACAUAAACAUGAAACCAUUUCUUAUAUGUUCGAUUCACAUCAAUCAUCAAAUUCAUUUAAUUCACAUGUACUUAAUUAGGUUGUUCGUACCUGAAUAAUUUACUUUACGGAACGAAUCCACAUAUCGUAUUAGCCCAUAGUCUUAAAGCACCACACUUUUAACAGUUUACCUCAUCGAAGUUCAUAUUUAAUCAUUUUAAUGCCAAGCCAUAUUUGGCUACCACAAAGGACUAAUAAUAAUAAUUUUAUACACAUCAUGGUUUCCUUUAGAUAUUUAAUAAUCACAAAUCGUGAUAUCUCUACCAAAACAUAUACGGCAUACUUUAUUCAUUGUAACACUCAUUUAGUGCAUCAAAUUUCCAAAUCCAAUUCAACUUAAGCAUAAUAGCCAUAAUCGGGUUAUAGCCUUAAAUCAUUACAUAUUCGACACAUUAACUAAAUAAAAUUUACAUUCUCUUUGCCGUAUUAAUUUAACUCUUAGGCAUAUAAAAAGGAAUCAAGCUUAAACACUUAAGAACUUACCUCGAAUGUUUCCGAACGAUUAUAACGGCUAUUCGAUUACUUUCUUUUUUCCCUUAUCCGAAUUUGUCCCUCUAUGCUCUUGAGCUUAAAUUCAAAGAUUUUAAACUAGUCAUUAUUCGACUAUUCAAGCAUCACUUUAUAAAUAUAAUAUAUAUAUUCGAAUUUCACACUUACUGAUCAUAGUAAGCUUAUAAGAAAUCAAUAAGCAACUCAUUAACAAAUUUUUGUCAAUGUUUACCACAUAAUCAUAAUUUCACUGCAAGUUGUCUUCCUGAGCAACAGUCACUAAAUCAUUUAUAACUGGAGCUACGAAACUCCAAAUCAUGUGCUGUUAAUUUUACUUGAAAAUAGACUCAUAUAUCUUUUAUCCAUAAAAUUUUAGGAAUUUUUGGUUUGGAAAAUCAAUACCAUAUUUUUCUUAAAGUUUCCCUUGUUUCACUGUUUGACUAAUCUAACCAUUCUUCACUACGAAUCAAAUUUCUCAUUGUACAGAAUUAAAAAUAUGUUCUCGUUUAUUUCAUUUGAAACUAGACUAAUUAAGGAGGCUAAGCAUAUGAACUUCAUCUUAUAACCAUUUUUUUACAAUUUAUAAUGAUUUUAUAAAAACAGAACAGGGGAUCUAGAAGUCAUUUUGACCCUAUCCCACAUCACUUCAAAUAUCUUAUUAUCGGAAAUUAUUUUUCUUACAUGGUUUCUUUUAUAAGAAACUAGACUCAUUAAGCUUUAAUUACAUAAUUUAUUCAGCUUCUAAAUCAUCUCCCACAAUUUAUGGUAAUUUUCCAAAAUCACAUUACUGCUGCUGUCCUAAGCAGAUUUAUUACCAAUUCACUCUUUCACACAUAACUUGCAUUCAUAUUAUUUAAACAUGUAUAUCACCAAUCAAUUUCAUCACAAUUUCACUUAAGCAUAAUAUCAAUACAAUACAUCAUGCUCAAAUCAUUAUUCAAGUUCAAAUUCGGCUAGCACACAUAUACAUACUAGCAAUUAAGUAUUAACAUUGCAUUUUAUACUAUAACCGAAUGUAUAACUCAUCGAAAUAUAUUUAUUCAUGUUCCCUUAACACAUAUUGGUCAACUAGAUCAUGCAUUAUUCUUUGGCACAUUUGAUCAUUAAAGCAAUCACCUAUUUAACUUUCAAGCAUUUUUAUAUUAACAUUUCCCCCAGGGCCGAAUUCAUAUACAACCUUUAGUACUCAUUCAAACUUUAUAUUUUAAGUAAUUUAUAUACACAACAUUAACCAAAUAUCCAUUUACUAAGCAUUUUAAUAAAUUUUUCUUCAACUAUCCACACAUUCGGAAAUCACAUAAUCAAACACUAAACCUUAACUUCCAAGCCAAAACAACUAGCAAACUCAACACAUCCAACAUAAAUUUCCAUACUAAUGACAUCAAAACAACUACUAAGAAUUUCAAGCUCCUUGGUCAAAUUUCAAUCUUCCAAAAUAACAAAAAUUUGAACCAUGAAAUAGGUAGAAUUCAAACUGACCAUUCAAUUUAUGCAUGAAUUUCCAAGAGUAGCAUUGUACAUACCUUAAUCUAGCAAUCUCCUUAGCCGAAAAUUUUAACAACAAAAGGAAAUUUCUUCUCCCCCCUUUCCUAGCUACGGCAAUGGAGGAAUAAAGAUGAACCAACUUUGGUUUCUCCUCCCACUAACACGUUAUUUUUAUUACCCAUACUCUUUUAUUCAUCUUUAAUUCAUUUAAUACAUUUUUUAUUACAUAUUUCUCACCACUAAUAAAUAUAAUAAUAUUAAACCAUGCAUAUACUGCCCAUACUUAUGAGCUUGGCCGGCCACUAGCAUUAAAAGUGGCAAAUUGACAUGCAAACCCACUUAUUUGCAUCAUUCAAUAAUUAAUCACUUAAAAUAAGCCACACAUAUAUUCAAAGCUUCUCACAUAAGUCCUUUUUAUUUAGAAACACAUUCAAAUUGACAAAAAUCAAAGCAUUCAAAUUUCACACAUGCAUGAUCACAUAUUUUAGACAUAAAAUAUUAUAUUCAAUUAUUUCUGCGACUCGGUUUAGCUGUCCCGAAACCACUUCCCGACUAGGGUCAAAAUAGGGUUGUCACAAUAAGUGAUAAAAGCGCGAGUUUCAGUCGGUAUGGUGAAUUAUUUAUUUGAAAGAUUUCAUGUGACAAUUAUGUCAGGAUUAUUUUUAUCAAGUCUGAUAAUAGAAUUUCAUUUUUGUACUGAUAAAAUAGUAAAUAGUCUGAACGAGAAGUGUAUAUUUAUUAGAAAGAGUUGGAUAUUAGUUAAAGUCACUACGAAUGAUAAGGUUUUCGUCUUGUGAAAGCAGAAAAGUUUAUUGCAUAUUGACAGAGUUCGGAUAGAUGAGAAUAUUGGUAACCGAAGCGUCUGAACUAGACUAGUCUACAUUGAGCAAAGACUUCCUGACUUUUAGUAAUGUACUGUUGUAUGAAUUGUGAUGUGUUUUAAGACAGUGAGGUAAUGUGAUAGUUUAGAGCAUUCGAUGUUACAUAAAAUCUGAGUUGGUAAAGAGGUUAAAGCCGAGCAUUAGGAUCUAUCAAAAUUAUCCUUUCUAGUGUUGAUAUUGGGAUGGAAAUGAGAAGGAUUAUUCUUGAGGCCAUAUCAGAAUUAUUUCCAUGGCAGAAAGAGGAAAAUGUGAUGUAUCCUAUUGUUAAAUGUUUGGCGAGAUCUAUAAAUCAUAUCGGUAUUGAAUGAAUUCCUACUCAUCAGAUUCAUGGAAUUUCAGGUCUCUUUGAUUGUUGGAUUUCUUGGAAUUCCGGUCUCCAUUAAAUCGAGUUGAGAUCCGGGUUUUAUGUCAUGAUAUCAUGGGAAACUGAGAAGGGUUGAAAAUUUAAGAACAGUUGAGAGUUGAAACUGUAAGCUUUUAGAUCAUAUGAGAAAUUAAAGAGAUGUAUUGGAGGUACAGCCUAAGUGAAAGUUCUUCGGCACUGAAUAUGAGAUUAAAAGUGAAGACCACUUUUCCGGUAAGAUUUUCGGGGACGAAAAUACCUAAAGGGGGGAGAGUUAUAAUAUCCUGAUUUUGGGCCUAGUCGGAAUGGUGGUUUCAAGGCCACAAAUCUGAGAUAGAAAUAAUUAUUUUAUAAUUAUUUUUAGGUCUAUGAUAUGAUUGCAUGAUUGCGUGAAAAUUUUGUGAAGAAAUUCUAUGCAUAAAGUGCUUAAUUUGAAAUUAGGGACUAAAUUGAAUAAAUUGCAAAACUUGUGUUCUAGAAGCAUUUUGCAUAAGAUUGAAUUACAUUAUUAAUUAUAGGUCCUUAAAGAGUAAGUUGACCAAUUUCUCAAAAAAUUUUGGACAAAAAUGGGUUUGGAAGGGUAAAAUUUUAAAGAAUAGUAAAAAGGGCAUUUUGGUCAUUUAGGGGUAAAAUGAAUUAAAAGACAAAUUUUAAAACCCAAAUGUGUCCAUCUUCAAACCCAUGGCCGAAUAUAGCAAGGAUAAACCAUGUCUAGGGUUUUUCAAGCUUCCAAGCUCGAUUGUAAGUCCGUUCUAGCCUCAUUUUUAAUGUUUUUUUACGUUUUUGGAGUCCCGGUAACUUGAUUUAGCUUAUGCUAGCAAUAAUUUAACCUAGGGUUUAUAUUUGGAAAAAUACCCGUAGGUGAAAUUUGUGUAUUUUGGUGUUUUAUGAUAGAAUAUGAGGUUUUAAAUUAUGUUAGACAACUUGUGCUACUCGGUUUUAAGUGAAAACGAGCAAAAGGGUUUAAUCGGUAAAAAUACCUAAUAGUCAUAAGUACAUGUUAGAGUGAGAAUUUGAUGUUGCCAUAGAAGGGAAAAAUGAUCAGCAUGUCAUAAAACAUAAGAAAAUAGGCUGAAGUUUAAUUUACGAGCUUUUAGGCAAAAGUGUAAAUAUGCAAAAGUUUAGGUGCAAAAGUGUAAUUUUUCCAAAAUAUGAUUUUGGGUCAAUUUGAAUAAUGUGAGUCCUAAUUAGACUAUAUUUUAAAUAAUAGAGCAAGGAAAACAGAAAUUCAGGCUAAAAUGGGAAAAAUACCAAGUUAUGGACGAAAUGGUAAAAGUAGCCAUUUUCGCAUACGAGGUAAGUUCAUAUGUAAAUGUUCGUAACAUAGUUAUUAUUUUAAAUGUUUUAAUGUUAUUUAAAUGAUAUGAUAAUUAUUAUGAAAUAUUAUACUUGUGAUAAUUGUUUGAUAAUAUGUCAAAUUAUGUGAUAUACUUGGAAAAUGUGAAAUACUACCGAGUAUCGGUAUCAGCAUUUCGUAGAAGAUGGUUGAGACACAUGAUUGGGAAAAAGGUCCCGUUGAACCUUAGGAAUGGAUUAGGAUACAUGUGACAUGUCACUAAGAUAUUUGGGCAUCUGAACUCGUUGAGUUGAGUCCGAGUUCGAGAGAUGUAACUAGGCAUCCAAGCUCGUUGAGUUGAGUCCGAGUUCACUUAUGGAUGCGAACUCCCGAGCUCGUUGAGUUGAGUCCGAGUUCACUUAUGGGCGGGUUACAUGGUAGCUUGGCUACAUAUGUGGCACUUAUGUGCAAACUUUCCAUGUAUCCGAACUAUAUUCUGAUGUGUUCAACGGGUAAAAUUCUACUCAAAUGGAGGAAUACUCGAGAUGAAAGGGACGUAUUGGUAAGUGUUGUGAAAUGGAUACUUUGAACAGGUAUGUACUUAACCCUCAGGUUGAAAACACGAUAUAACAACAAUAUCGUAAGAUGAUAAAUGAAAAUAUGAUAUGAAUGUCUUGGUGAUGAUUAUGCAAAUGAUGUUUUAUGUUUGCUUAUAUGGUUAUGUUACUUGCUAUUUGAAUGUGAACUUACUAAGAAUUUAUGCUUACUCCCUCCUUUUCAUUCCUUGUAGUUUUGACAAGCCAGCUCAAAAGUCGGGAACGGUCGGAGGCUCGCUCACACUAUCCGUGUAUCAUCUUGGCAUAAUGGCUUGUAUAUUUUGAGCAUGGCAUGUAUAGCAUUAUAAUCAUUUUGUGUAUAUGGUCUUAUGAUAUGGUUAUUGAGUGGUAUGAAAAUGCUUGGUAAUGAUUAGCCAUUGGAAUGGCUAAUCAUGAUCAUAUUUGGUGUUAUGUAUGCUAAAUUGCUAGCUAAUCCAUGGAAACCAUGAAAUAGGUAAAAUUUACCAUAAAAUAGAUUCAGACAACAGUAGUGACGUGAGUUUGAAAAAUCAUUAAAAAUAGUAGAGAUAUACUUAGAUGAUGAAUAAAAUAUGGAAUUGAAUAAUUAUGAGUCUAUUUUCAUAUGGAUGCAACAAAAUAGGUAUAUUAGUUAUAUUUUAUGAGAUGUUUAAAUUUUUGUGAAACAGGGCCAGAGCAAUUUCUGGAUCCCCUGUUCUGACUUUAAUAAUUAAUCAUAAAUUUUAAAAAAAUAAUUAGAAGUCAUUCUUUAUGUGUACAGAUUCCUUAUUGAGUCUUGUUUUAUUAGAAAUAAACGUCAUAGUCAUUGAAACUCUUUACAGGGAGAUAUCUGAUUCGUAAUACACAGAGGUCAGAGCAGUCGAACCCUGAAACAGGGGAGAAUUUAACUAAUAAACUGUACUAAUUGGCUUGACAAAAAAUUCUAGGAAAAAAUUUGUAAAUAUAUAUAUGAGUCUAGUUUCAGGAAACAUUUACAGAAUUAGAUUUCGAGUUUCAGAACUCGAGAUAUGAAUUUUUAAACAAAUGUAACGCAGAUUGCUAACUUGACUGGAAAUUUUAAAAAUAAAUUGCUUGAGCUGUUUAAGUAAUGAAUUAAGUCUGUUAACACCUUAUUUUCAACUCCGGCGACAGUCUCGGGUACGGGACGUUACACAAUUAAUACUUGAAAGCCCAGUUAACCAGAACCCUUUUUUUUCUUAUGGAACUAAAAUUAACUAAAAUUACCGAGUUUUAACCUAAGCUUGGGCCUUCUAGAGGCCCACUAACAUAAUUAAACCUACACCAAAUAGACAGAACAGAGAAAUUUUAAAUUUUUGCCAACAUACACAGAAUUCCCGAAAAUUGGGGCGUUACAACUCUACCCUCCUUAAAGAUAUUUCGUCCUCAAAAUUUACCUGAUCAAACAGAUGAGGGUAUUGCUGUUGCAUCGCCUCUUCUGGCUCCCAAGUAGCUUCCUCUCUGCCAUGAUUACGCCAAAGCACUUUCACUAAUGGGACAGAUUUCCUUCUGAGAACCUUAACAUCUCGAGCCAAUAUUUGCACAGGCUCCUCCUCAAAGGUCAAAUCAGUCUGAAUUUCAAUUUCUGCAACUGUCACGACAUGAGCAGGGUCAGAACGAUAACGCCUUAACAUGGAGACGUGAAAAACAUCGUGAAUCCUGUCUAACUCUGGAGGCAAUUCCAAUUGAUAAGCUACUGGGCCUACUCGCUUCAAAACUCGAUAAGGCCCAAUGAACCAUGGACUCAACUUGCCCUUCUUACCAAACCUUAAUAUCUUCUUCCAAGGAGAAACCUUUAAGAAGACCAUAUCACAUACUGAGUACUCAAUCUCCUUACGCUUCAAAUCUGCAUACGACUUUUGCCUAUCAGAUGCUUCUUUUAACCAAUCCCUAAUUUUUCUGACCUUAUCCUCAGUAUCAGCUACCAACUCUAGUCCAAGAACUUGUCACUCUCCUAGCUCAGUCCAACAACUAGGUGUACGACACCUUCGUCUAUACAGUGCUUCAUACGGUGCCAUUCAAAUACUCGCCUGGUAACUGUUAUUGUACGCAAAUUCUACCAACGGCAAGUACUCCUCCCAACUACCUCGAAAGUCAAUUACACAUCCCCUCAACAUGUCCUCCAGAAUUUGAAUAACCCUUUCCGACUGACCAUCAGUUUGGGGAUGGAAUGCCGUACUAAAGUUCAAUCGUGUCCCCAACGCCUCAUGUAACUUUUGGCAAAAUCAAGAUGUGAAUCUGGGAUCCCAAUCGGAAAUAAUCGAAACUGGGACUCCAUGAAGUCGCACAAUCUCUGCCACAUACAACUUGGCUAACUUUUGAAGUGAAAAGUCAGUACGUACAGGUAUGAAAUGGGCUGAUUUGGUCAACCUAUCCACAAUCACCCACACCGAGUCUUUCUUUGAUGGUGCCAAAGGCAACCCACUCACAAUGUCCAUGGUUACCCUCUCCCACUUCCAAAGUGGUAUCUUCACUGGCUACAACAGUCCAGAAGGUAAUUGAUGCUCAGCUUUCACUUGCUGGCAUGUCAGACAUUUCCCUACAAACUCCAUUACUUCUCAUUUAAGUCCAGGCCACCAGUACAAUUCUCGCAAGUCGUGAUAUAACUUGUUCCCUCCAGGAUGCAUGGCACAAAGUCCCCCAUGAGCUUCCUUCAAUAUUGUCUGCCUUAAAUCAGAGUCCUUCGGAACAAAAAUUCUUCCUCGGAAGCACAGAACUCCAUCACCAUUUAACCCAAACUCAGAAGUUUCCCCUUCCUUAACUUGUUGAAAACGAGCAACCAAGGACUCAUCGUUCAACUGCUUUUCCUUAAUCUGAUCCACCCAGGUUGGUCUCACUUGCAGCUCAGCCAACAGACUUCCACCAUCAUACAGACUCAGACGACCAAACAUUGCUCUCAGAUCAGAUACAGUUCUACGACUUAGAGCAUCGGCUACCACAUUAGCCUUGCCCAGGUGAUACUCGAUCGAACAGUCAUAAUCCUUAAGCAACUCAACCCAUCUCCUUUGCCUAAGGUUCAGCUCCUUCUGAGUCAAAAAAUACUUAAGACUUUUAUGGUCUGUGAAUAUAAUACACCUUUCUCCGUACAAGUAAUGUCUCCAAAUCUUAAGUGCAAAUAUCACUGCUGCCAACUCCAAAGCAUGAGUAGGAUAGUUCCCCUUGUGAGGCUUAAGCUGUCGCGAUGCAUAUGCAACCACCUUACCCUCUUGCAUUAACACGCAGCCCAAACCUACAUGUGAUGCGUCACUGUACACAGUAAAAUCCUUCCUAGACUCCGGCUGAAUUAACACAGGUGCUUCAGUCAGAACUUUUUUCAACUUCUCAAAAGCUUCCUACUGCUUCUCAGUCCACACAAACGGUACCCUUUCCUUAUGAGUUUUGUCAGAGUUGUUGCCAUCACAGAAAAACCUUCCACAAACCUUCUGUAGUAUCCUGCCAAUCCUAGGAAACUCCGUAUUUCCGACACUGACCUAAGCGGCUUCCACUCCAAAAUCACUUCAAUUUUUCGAGGGUCCACCUUAAUCCCCUCGGCAGAGACCACAUGUCCUAAGAAGGUUACCUCCCUCAACCAAAAUUCACACUUGUUGAACUUCACAUAAAGUUCCUUCUCCCUUAACACUUGCAGCACUAUGCGGAGAUGCUCAUCAUGCUUCGCUUCCGUUUUAGAAUAUACCAGGAUAUUGUCAAUAAAGACGACUACAAACUGAUCCAAAAAUGGUUGGAACACACGAUUCAUCAAAUCCAUAAAUGCUGCAGCAGCGUUCGUCAGUCCAAAUGGCAUAACCAGAAACUCGUAAUGACCAUACCGAGUCCUGAAUGUCGUCUUAUGGAUAUCUACCUCCUUGACCCUUAACUGAUGAUAUCCAGAUCGAAGGUCGAUCUUGGAAAAUACAGAAGCUCCUUUAAGCUGGUCGAACAAAUCGUCAAUCCUUGGCAGUGGAUACUUACUCUUAAUCGUCAGUUUGUUCAACUGGCGAUAAUCAAUGCACAUCUGCAUCGUACCAUCCUUCUUUUUCACGAAUGGCACCGGUGCUCCCCAUGGAGACACGCUUGGCCUAAUGAAGCCCCUAUCCAACAACUCUUGAAUUUGUGCCUUUAACUCCACUAACUCCUUUGGUGCCAUCCUAUACGGUGCGAUGGACACGGGCGCCGUUCCAGGCAACAAGUCGAUUCCAAACUCAACUUCUCAGUUCAGAGGCAAUCUUGGAAGCUCCUCCGGAAAAACAUCUUGGAACUCUUUUACGGUCUUAACCUUAUCCACUGUCAGACCCUCCUCUUCCGACUGACUUACAAAUGCCAAAUAGGCCUCACAACUUUUCCGAAUCCACUUUUCGGCUCUUAAUGCCAACACCACAUUGGACAAAUAAUCUCUUCGCUCACCUAUCACCAUAACCUCCUCACCCUCUAUGGUCCUUAACACCAUUCAUUUAGCAGGACAAUCCAAAGUCGCCUUAUGCUUAACAAGCCAGUCCAUUCCCAGAAUGAGAUUAAACUCUCCGAACGGUAACUCCAUCAGAUCUCCAGGGAAAAUCCUACCUUGAGUUUCUAAGGGUACAUCCCUAUACAGUUUGUCUACCCUAACCGAGUGACCCAAAGGACUUAGCACAGAUACCCCACUCACAAUCUUCUCAGAGUGCACACCCAACGACCCAAAUAUGGCACAUGCAACAUAGGAAUGAGUAGAUCCAAUAUCCACCAAAGCAGUAUACGAUAUGCUAGAAACCAAAAACGUACCAGUUAUGACGUCAGAUGCGUCGCCCUCCUCUCGACGACGAGCUGCAUAAACCAACAUUGGCUGUCGAGCUUCAGCAUUUUCGGCACCCCUGCCAGGUGCCCCUCGACCUCGACCAUUUCCAUUUUCGCCCCUAUCUUGUCCACGUCCUCUCAGUGGUUUCCUACAAGCACCAGAAAGUUUCCUACACUCGCUCAAAUGUACCUUACCACAGUCUCCACAGAUUGGUGGUCUAACAACAUUCAUCGGCACUGCUCGAACUAGUUCCUCCACUCUUGCUCUCUUAACAUUUCUACUUGCUCCACCUGGAGAUCCGAAAUCCUUCCGAAAACGAUUUCGAUCUUUCUCCCGAUUCUGCUUUUUGGCACGCUUUUCCUCCUCAGCUAUCUUUGCCUUCUCCACCAAGACCACAAAGUCUCGCUCCCUCUGCGGAGCAAUCAACACCCUAAGGUCAUCUCUAAGACCAUCCUCGAAGUGCACACUUCGCUCAUAUUCCGUAGCGACUAUGCCCACGGCAUACCGGCUCAGCCUCAAAAACUCAGCCUCGUACUCAGCAACUGUUUUACCUCCUUGCACCAGAUUCAAGAAUUCCUUUCUGCGGGCGUCCACAUAAUUCGCCCCAACAUACUUCCCUUUAAAAGCCGCCUUAAACAGUUCCCAAGUUACCCUAUCAGCUGGGGUCCCUUCUCUCAUAGUGAGCCACCACUGAUAAGCCUCGUCCCGUAGCAACGAUACGGCUCCCUUCAGCUUCUGCUCCACAGAGUAGUCCAAGUCGUCCAUAAUCCGUUCUGUGGCCUCCAACCAAUAUUCUGCCACAUUCGGGGCUACACUAGACACACCCUUAAAGAUCUCCGCUCCGUUAGCCCGAAGUCGUUUAGAAAUAGAUCCCUGAAUUUCGUUGCCCGUACUUGCCCCGGCAACCCUUUCUAGAACACGAAGCAUUGCCUGCGACAGGGCAUCAUCCCCGACACUGCAGUCAUGAGACUCCACCUCUGUUGUCGGUGGUACCAGUGCAUCCGCUGCCGGCAUAUGUCCCAAAGAUGAAGAUCUCGCUCGAGCACUUCCUCAGCCCUGUCCACGGCCUCUUCCACGAGCGGCUCUUGUACUCAUAUCGUAUUAUCUGAUUACGAAUUUUUAUGCAUUAAUUCAAUAUUUCAGUGUUUAUUACAGAUGUUUUAUGAAUCAGACAGUAAUUCAAAGUUUAUUUUCGCAAAAUCGAAGUCUAUGUACAGUUUCAAUCAAAUUUCCUAUGGUUUCCGUAUCAUCCUAUCUAGAGUAUCCUAGUAGGGUUUCAGUACAGACAGAUAAUUCAGGAAAAUAUUCAGAAAAGUUCAGAGUAAUACUUACAGGCUUGGGCCGAAGAUUCAGAAUGCCACCUUCUAUAGAUCUAAAUUUUGAAAAUCGAGUUUUUUUCAAUUUUUAUAAAAUUUUUAUUUUUGUAAACCCAUUCCACAGCCGAGUUGUUGCAACUUGGCUCUGAUACCACUAAAUGUAACACCCCAAACCUGACCCAGGCGUUAUGGCUGGAUUCGACAUGCCACAUCGAAGCGUUCAAAACAUUUCAUAUUGUUGAUCCAAAAGAAACUUACUUAGUGUUUUAAAAGAUAAUUUCAUUGUAGGUUAAAGUGAAUGGAAGUUGUGCACCAGGUAGGAAAUCGGGAAAGAGGAGGUGAGUCCAUCGGACUGCUUAACUACCAAGCUCCCUUCGGAUCCAAUCCUAGACAAGCACACCGCCAUUGCCACACCUUAACGUCAUGUAUAUUUCCCGGAAACCUAUUUGAUUAAGUCCUUUUUAGGAAAAGUGAUUAAUUUUAGAAAAUAUUUUCAUUGCGGAAGCUUUGCUUGUUGUCGUGCUAUUUUGAAAUCAAUUACUGUUUUUUGAAAACGCGCCCUAAAGCUAUCUAGUUUCAACAGUUAAAUAUAAAUAAUACCUAUCUUAAUAAAACAUAUUAAACCCAUCAAAAAAUAAUUAAGCGGCCUUAUUACAUAAAAAAAACCCAAAACCUUAAACGUAAAUAAAAGGAUGUCCAGUUCACCAGAAGAAAAUCAAACUCGCAGAACGUGUGGCCACUCCGAAUCCCUCACAGCUCCAGGCCCACUAUGGCUGGGGAUUAGCUGCAUGGAUGCGAAUAAAAGGGUGAGUUUGGAGAAACUCAGUGUGUAAAUUAACCCAACCAUAGCCCAUAUCGGUUCAAACCACAGAAAACAAAAUAAGUUGGCCUUAGCCCAGAACAGAAUUUAGAAUAAAGCCCAUAGGCCCAUAACAUAACAGAACAGAUAUUACAUGUUUAUGCAAAACCCAACCCAAAUCCAACCACAUGCACCCCCAUACCAACCUUUCACCAUGUGGGGAGACUACUCGACCCACCCAACUGCUACACGCCACAAAAAUAUGCAGCAUGGCUGCUAGAACAGAUAAUGUGACAGAGUCACCAGAUACAGAUAAUUGUGGCAGAGCCACCAGAACAGAUAUAUAUGGAGCCACCAGAUCAGAUAAUUGUGGCGUAGCCACCAGGACACUUCCUCCAUAAUAUAACCCAUGUCCCCAUGCAAAAAAAUACAAUCAUGGCAUACAUCAUACAGAAUCAGAUCAUCAUGCUUUUCAGUCAAAAGUAACCCUAGGGGUAUAUCAGUAAUUUCCAUACAUAGGAGUAUUCAAGUAAUUUCACUAUUCUUAAGGUUUUCAUGCAUAGCAUAUCCAUUUACGUACGACCAGAAACACUUACCGUGUUUUCUUACCGAAUUGGGCCCGUUGGCCCACUACCCCGAUUUUGGCCCAUUAAGCCUAAAAACAUCGAAAUGCACGGAAUCGUACACUUUGAAAUCUUAUCACCUUAAUUUACCACAUACAUCAAACUAUUAAGCUCACGAGCAUUCACACACUCGCAAGUUCUCAAAAUACCGGCUUUUCGGCAUUUUGGCUUUUCGGCUUUUGCCGAUCUAGUCUAUAAGAGGGUGUCAGUUACACACCUUUUUGCGAUGAUAUGCUGAUGAUAUCCACACACGAACUGCCUACAAUCGGAUUACUAACACGUUAAUCCAACUAUCAAAAAUGAACUACGUAUUAACCCCUUACCAUAUUCGGCCAAAAGCACCUUAGGCACUAGCGAUCCUACCUUUGCCGAAAUUAGCGAUUAUGUCUAGAUCCAGUCGUUCCACUUGUCCAAGCCUUCGAUUAGCAGCCUCUAGAUCCCACUAUUAUCAAAAUAAAAUAGUUAUUACAACCCUUAGAGCUACAAGCCCAAAUCGACAGCCUCCCUAAACUUUAGGGGUUUCGGCUUUUUCUAAAACCUGAAAUAAAGAUUAAGUUCAAAAACUUACCACUGGCUCCUUCAGUCAAUGAUUCCACUUAAUUCCUACUCGAUUCUAAUGCAGAUCUAACCCCUCAAAUGAUAACAAAAUUCUAGCCUUUAGUAAUCUUAAAAUUCGGCUAUGUCCCUAUGGCUAUGCGUUUUCGGCUUUUUUUGUAGCAGUGAAGAAAAGAUGAGGGUUUUGUAGUGGCUUUGUCGACAGGAACUUGGGGUUUAGAGGACUAGAGAAUCGGUCAAGAAGAUGAGGGAAAAUAAGAGGGUUUUGACUAGAAGAAAACGGCACAAAAGAAAUCAGGCUUUCGGGAUUUCGGCUUUUUGAGGUAAUCGACUAUAGGCUUAAAAACAACUGAUAAAAAAUGAAGAUGAGCAGAAUGGUAGAGAGAUUCGGCAAACAAGAAGAAGAAAAGAAGUUGAUGAAAAGAGAAAGAAGAAGAAAAAAGAAAAAGGAAGAAUGGUCAGGAAACGGCACAACAUACCCCUAAUGCCGAACUUAUACUUGGCAUUUGACCUAGCCGAAACUUGCCCCCUAAAGAAAACCCUUGGCCAGCCAACUCUUGCUCCUCAAGAGUCCACCAUUCGGCCAACACUGCUCUCCCUAAUCAACUCCUAAAUCCUCUCCCUUAUCCCCUCCUUACUCAAUCUCCUGAGCAACUCAAACUCCUCCUGACAGUCUUUUACUUAAGUUCCAUUACUUACCCUUUCUAAACAUAAAAAUAAUUCCCUUAAUAUGCUCCCAUUGUGACUUGAACCUUGGUUCUCCCUAGCAUCCACACGCCACUUUUAUAGCCUUCCUAGUGGCGUCACAUGCCACUUUGCCACCUGCUUCCUUGUGUUUUAUUUUGCCCAAUUAAUACUUAAAAGCCCAGUUAACCAGAACCCCUUUUUUUCUUAUGGAACUAAAAUUAACUAAAAUUACCGAGUUUUAACCUAAGCUUGGGCCUUCUAGAGGCCCACUAACAUAAUUAAACCUACACCAAAUAGACAGAACACAGAAAUUUUAAAUUUUUGCCAACAUACACAAAGUUCCCAAAAAUUGGGGCGUUACACUUUUUAUUAAUGGUCUAAUUACCAUUUAAGGACCUCAAGUUUUGAAUUCCAUAGCUAUUUAAUCCUUAUAGGUACUAGAAUUCAACUUUUUCAUUUUAUGCGAUUUGGUCCUUCCCGUAAUUAAACACUUAACAGAUAAAAUUUUCUUAUCAAAAUUUUCACAUGACAUGCCUAUAAUAAUACGGACCAUAUAAUAAAAUAAAAAUAAAUUUUAUUUUUUGACUCGAAUUUGUGGUCCCGAGACCACUGUUCCGAUUUCACUGAAAUUGGGCUAUUACAUUACAACCAUAUUCAGGUCUCAUAUUACCUUACAAAAGCUCUAUUGAUAACUCGAGGUCUAAUAAGGACUAAAAUAUAGUAUAUCAAAACUAUUGGGUUAACGUUGCGACUUAAAGGGUUCCAGGUCACGAUGCCACUCACUAUAAAUUUCUCGUCACAACAUUAAGGGUCUGACAUCACGAUGUUACUUUUUUAUUUCCAAAAUAACCACUAAAUACGAAUUCACAACAACCUGCACAUAAGUUCAUUUGCACAUUUCAACAAUUUAACACUACAUAUAUGCUUUGCAUAAUCCAUAUGGAAUCAUUCAACUAGCAUUACAAUAUAAAUUUCCAAUUUGACAAUUCACAUGAACUUACUAUAGGUUCCAAAAUGAAUGUUUCAAUAUAAAAUAGACUUAAACCUUAGGUAAAUGUCAUAUAUCAGAACAUAAGGAACUAUACAAAUAUUGAUGAGUCAAGUGUCUCGAUUCAAAUGUUAGAUCACUUCUUGGGUCUUCGAUAUCUACAAUACCAUGUGCAUAAAAUAAACAAACUAUAUGUUGUGUGAUAAAACUCAGUGGUACUUUCAUGAUUUAAGUCAUAUAAGAGAAAGCAUUAACAUGGUAAGAAUAUAAUCAAUAUAUAAUCAAGUUUCAACCAUUUCAAUUCACCUAUUCAUUUCCCAUAUAACAAUUCAUAUACUAUCACAAUUGGUAAAUCAAUACACACAAAUCAUACCAUAUUUUUUAAUAACUAGAAUACACUUAUUACAUUUCAACUCAUACCAAUUUGGCACCUUAGUGUAUUAUCGAAAAAUUUGAAGUCUUAGCACAUAGUGCUUCAUCAUACUAAUUUGGCACCUUGGUGCAUCAUUGGGAGAACCAAAGUCAAUAUAGUGGCACACAUUUUCCGUUAUCAAACGAACUGAACCUAAUAUAUUGGUGCACAUAGUGCAUAUAUAGCAACUCGGUUUCCAGUAGUGUCGAAAAAGGCGAUUUUGAGAUCCCAUUUUUGUAACUCAAGCUUGUAAAUAUUUAAUAAGAAUAUUUACGAUGUUAAAAUAUAGAUGAAUUAAAUUUUGGACAGCCAAUUUAGUAGAAAUUAUGAUUAAUUAGGUCCUAGAUUCUAAAUUGUAAAGACCGAUCACUAUAUAUUUUUAAUUAGGAAAUGGGUUGGGAACUUAAAUUGCAAUAAACCAAAGGUUUAAAAUAGAAAAUAUACAAUGUUAAAUCAUAUGUUAGUGGACGGCAUGAUUAAUUAGAUAUUAACUUAGGUUAAUUAAGAUUUAUUUAGUAAAAACUUGAUUAAUUAAAUUAAGCUAUAACUUAAUCCUAAUAUAUAUAUGAUAAUUUAGUGGAAGGAAAUAUAAGUUCACCUUCUCUAGCCAUCUAUAAAACAAAUAAGAAGAAAAAAACACCAUAGCUAGGGUUCACAAGCUUUUUGGCUUUAAUUUCAAGCAAAUCCCUAGCCAUUUUUAUUUUUAUUUUUAUGGAAAUUGAAUCAUGGGAGCUUGAUCUAGCUAACCCAUGUGCUAAUUUUAAAAACUGUUAAAGUUUUAUAAAGUUUCCAUGAUAGAGAAUUAAUUGAUUUUUGUGGUAAAUUGUUAGGAAUUAAGCUUAGUAUAUGAAAAGGACUAAAUUGUAAAGCUUAAUUAUUAGUUUCGCACAUUAGGGACCAAAUUGAAAAGUUUUUAAAAUGUCAUGAAUUAUUGGUAAGGAUAGAAAAUAGAGGGUCACUAAUGAGUUUUGGUGAAAUUGGAUUUUAAUCUGAGGCUUUAAAUUGGAAGUUAUGUUUGUCCUAUUGUUACGAACUAAAUUGAAUAAAUUAAAAAUUUCAUGUAAACUGAUAAUUGCUUUUGAAUUGGCUGGAAUUUAAUAGUAUGUUAUGUUUUAUGACUAUCCGUAGCUAAUUUCGAUGUGGAACCAUCAAGAGGGAAAGGAAGAACGAAAGUGGUCGACAAGUAACCGAAAAUUCUAAUUUGUACAUUUAUAAUUUAAAGUAAUAAAAAUUGCUUGCAUUUUCAUGUCAAGGUAAGUAUAUAGUAAUAACAUAAGUUAUUGGAUCAAGCUUGAAUGUGAAUUCUCUAAAUAGAGGACCAAAUUGAAUAAAGUGGAAAAUAGCAUGAUUUGCUUGAAUUAUGAAUAUGGUGUGGAAUUGAGUGAGAAUACGUAUUGAAUGAUAUGAAAUAUGUAUGUUAUAUUCAUUAAUUGAAUUGUUACAAUGUAUAUGAUUGAAAAUUUGAUAUGUGUAUUAAAUUGUAAAACGAAUUGAAAUUUGAUACCCUAUUAACUAGUCUGGUUGAGUCAGAUAUAGUUGGCAUGCCGUAAGAUUGGAUUGAGUACAGGAUUAUGCUCUUAUGUGCCAAGGUUUGAAAGCAUCGUUGAGAUGACAAAAGGAGGAGACGAGUUGAAUGUCUUGCUGAAGAACCAUGGGAGGUCCAGGAAAGAUACCAAAUCAAGGGGUAUGUUGUCGGCUUUGGAAAGUAGAGUUAUCCAUCUCAAAGUGUAACACCCUAAACCCGUAUCCAUCACCGGAAUAGGGUUACAGAGCAUUACCAAAAACUUUUAACUUAAAACAUUCGAUUACAAUUAUUUAUAAAACACAUUAUAUUCCAUUCAAACACAUUCAUAACAUCCCUUUUUGAGCCCUCGAGGCCUUAGAAACACUUUAGAAAUGAUUCGAGGGUAAAUCGAAAACAUUUAGAACUUCAUUGCAAAAGAUUAAAAAACUCAUACUACAGGGGUCACACGGCUGUGUGGCUAGGCCGUGUGACUCACACGGCUGAGACACACGUUCAUGUCUCAGGCCGUGUGCACAUUUGAAAUAGGAACACACAGCCAUGUCCCAUCCCAUGUCCAUGCCCAUGUAACUCUCUGACUUGGGUCACACGGCCAAGUCACACGCCCGUGUGCUUGGCCAUGUACCUCUUGAAAUUGCCUCACAUGCCAGUGUGCUAGGCCAUGUAACUGCCUGAUUGCAACCCUUUGAAACCUAUAGGGGACACAUGACCGUGUCACAUGGCCAUGUGUCACACACAACUUGUAACACCCCUAACCCGUAUUCGUCGUCAGAAUAGGGCUUCAGAGCAUUACCGAAACAUUCAAAAUAUUUUAGAAAUAAUUUAUGUAAAUUAAUUCUCAUUAAUCGAGAUCAUUUCAAACAUCCCUUAAUUGGACCCUCGAGGCCCAAUACGAGCAUUAGAAUCCAGUCGGGGCUUAAACGGGAACUCUGAGAAUUUUUCGUGACAUUUCAAAAAAAUUUCAAGUUACAGGGCUCACACGUCUGUGUGGUCCCUUGGACACUCCCGUGUGACCCUGGGACAUGCUCGUGUUGGAGGUCGUAUUCGACCCCGUGUAAUUCUUUGACUUGUGCACACGGCCAUACCAUACGCCCAUGUGCUAGGCCGUGUGGUUUAAUAAUUCAAUUCAAAAUUAAGUGCAAGUUUCACAUGGCCAAGACACACGCCCGUAUUCUAGGCCAUGUGGUACACACGGCUGAGACACAUGCCCGUGUCUCUGCCCGUGUGCUUAAUUUUCAGCAUUCUAUUUCUCAAAAUUUUGGGUGCAGGGGACACACGGCCUAAUACAUGCCUGUGUACCCGGCUGUGUGUCACACACGGUCUAGACACAUGCGUGUGUGUCUACCUGUGUGGACAAAAUAAAGCCAUUUCUAGCUUCAUUUUUAACCCAAAUUCACACCAAUGACCUGCACUUAAAUUCACAUCCACAAACCAACCAAUUCAAGCAUUCAAAUUAAACAAAUUCCUUAAUUCAUCAUGGCAUACCAUUACAUGCAUACAUGUCUAUAAUCUUACCUUAGUUAAGUCCUAAAGUUAGACAUUAUUUGAUCAACUACUUGACAUUUUGAAACUACCAUUGUAUGACAUUACAAGUACAAUAGAACAUGCCACUACUGUAACACCCCUAUCCCGUAACCGUCGCCAGAAUAGGUAAGGGGCAUUACCGGACUUGUAACUCAUGUUAGAACAGUAAAAUUUUGAACUUUUUCUUGAAAUAAAGAUCGUUCGUUUAAAUAAGUACUAAGCACAACCAGAGGUAAAAUUUAAACUUCACUAAGUAAACAUUCAAAAGAUGCCAUUUUCGCAUGGCUUAUAUACAUUAACCAAAGAUAUUCUUCCGCCACUAGUCUAUUCUAUACAUGCCAUAAGAUAAUCCAAAACGUAGCAGUACCAAACAAUGGAUAGUGAUAGUGUGACUAGUUGCUGAUGAUCCCCGAGCCUGUAGCUUCCAAAUGAGAUCUAUAAAACAGAAGAAACAGAGUAAACGGAGUAAGCAUUACAAUGCUUAGUAAGUUUUAAGCAGUGUCAACAGAUAACAAUCAAAUUAUAACAUAGUUGUUCGUAUAUUUUAUUUCACUCUUCCUUCGGGCAUACCAUCCCUUUUCCGAAUAUGCACAUCUCAUCAUAUACAAUAGGCAGAUAAACUUUCAUAUAAAAGUGAGCUCAUGUGACAUAGAUAUAUCGUAUGAUUUCACAUAACCUCUCACACUGAUCCGAUGUCACAUAAUCAUAGGAAUAGUCUCAUAGAUUGCUCUCUAUGCAUCACAUAACUACCUUAUGAUUAAGUGCAAAUCAAGCUCACAUAUAAACUUGGAGUACAUACCUGUUUAACCUUUCGCAUUGAAUAUAUUUAUAAGCAAUUCUUAUUACGAAGUCUUACCCGGACAUAAUCUCCACACGAAGUUAUCGGGUCUUACCCGGACAAAAUCCCCACACGUAGUCAUCGGGUCUUUAGAGCUCGGAUAUAGUACGAGCACGAAGCUUACGGACAUUAAUCAGUGAUAAUAUUCUCGCAUAAAGCCUGCGGGGUUUUAACCCGGAUAUAGUGCUGACACAAAUGCCCUUCGGGACUUAUCACAUUUAUACACUUUCACAUCCUUCACGUUGGCCACUCGGCCCUGUCACAUAUAUACACUUUCACAUUCAUCACAUCGGCCAUUAGGCCUUAUCACAUAUAUACACUUUCACAUUCAUCACAUCGUCCAUUAGGCCUUAUCACAUAUAUACACUUUCACAUUACCAACCCUUUUAUUCAUACACAAAUAUCAACUUAGCCAAAGGCCGGUAGCUCAUUUAUCAACUGAGUGAAUACUUAUUUGUAAGGGCUCAACUAAUUCAAAGCACAUACGAAACAUACCUCAAUGUUGGGAUGUUUCAAGCGUAUUAACUGAAAUUUUUACAGCAAGAUCAUUCAUUCCCAAAUCACAUACCUUCGGAAUUUAACCGGAUAUAGCUACUCGUUCAAAUGCCUUCGGGACAUAGCCCAGUUAUAGUAACUCGCACAAAUGCCUUUGGGACUUAACCCAGAUUUAGUAACUCGCACAAAUGCCUUCGGGCUUAGCCCGGAAUUAGUAUCUCGCACAAAUGCCUUCGGAUCUUAGUCCGGAUUUAGUAUCUCGCACAAAUGCCUUCGGAUCUUAGUCUGGAUAUGGUCACUUAGCACAAAGCCUUCGGGACUUAGCCCAGACAUCAUUCAAAUAACCAUGCACAUUUAACAAUAAAUCAUGGCACAUUCGUAUUUCAUUUUCGAUAGCAAAACUCAAACACAAGACACUUAUCAUUCUUGCAAUUUCGGCUCAAUAGCCACACACAAAGAGCAUGAUUUUGAUUUGCUUAAAACAUGAUCUAAUCAAAUCAUAAUUUAAGCUCUAUUACUCAAGAACUUACAAUAUCACGAUUUAGAAUUCAAGUAUGGGUUUAAUCAAUAGCUUGUGAGCAACUAAAACAAGUUUAUCAAGGUUCACAACAUAAUCUCAAAUUCAGCACAAGCUGUUUUUCCUGAGCAAUAGUCACUAAAUUAUUUAUAACUGGAGCUACAAAACUCCAAAUCACUUUCCGUUAAUUUUUCCUGAAUAUAGACUCGUAUAUCUUCCACCCAUAAAAUUUCCAGAAUUUUAGGUUUCACCAAUCAAUACCAGAUUUUUCUUAAAAUUUCCCCUGUUUCACUGUUUGACUAAUCUGACCACUCUUCACUACGAAUCAAAUUUCUCAUUUUAAAGAAUUCAAAAUGUGUUGUAUUUGAUUUCAUUUGAAAUUAGACUCAUUAAGGAGUCUAAGCAUAUAAAUUUUAUCUUAUAACCAUUUUUUUACAAUUUAUAAUGAUUUUCUAAAAACAGAACAGGGGAUUUCGGAGUCAUUCUGACACCGUCUCACACAACUUUAAAUAUCUCAUUAUCGGAAAUUCCUUUGCUUACACGGUUUCUUUUAUAAGAAACUAGACUCAUUAAGAUUUAAUUUCAUGUCUCAUUCAGCCUCUAAUUCAAGUCCAUAUAUUUAUGGUGAUUUUCUAAAGUGACGUUACUGCUGCUGUCCGAAGCAGACUAUUUCAAAUUACCCUUAAAUUCCCAAGCUCAAACACUUAAGAACUUACCAUUUGAGCUUAGAACAUAUCAUGGCAACAUCAUAUCUUAUUAAAUCAACUCAUCAUGUCCUAUUAUAAUUGAAUUUACUCAACGUUUAAACACUUAAAACUUACCUCGGAUGUGGUCGAACAAUUUCGGCGGCUAUUCGAUCACUUCUUCCCUUCCCUUAUCCAACUUUGGUCCUCUAAGCUCUUGAGCUUAAUUUAACAAAUAAAUUGAUUUAAUCAUUUGAGCAUCAAAAGAGGAACUCAAGGUACUUAGCCCAUAUAUACAUACAUUAGACAUUAAAGUCACAUACAUAUGAAAUCAUAAAUCAAUUCAACAUAUUAGCCCACACUCUCUUUUAGCCGAUUGUCUAAGCCAAGAUAAAAGCAUCAAUAUGCUUGCCUCUAGCCGAAUACAUGCAACACCAAGCAAGAAUGAUGCAUCCAUGGCCGAGUGUCAUCUUCAUAACUUUACAAAAACAUUUGCCAUGAGCUAGCUUCUGUACUUGGUGGCCACUCCAAAUGUACAAAGAUUUUCAAUGAUAGAGCAUUAACAUACCUUAAUACAUCAAAAUAAUUAAAUUCUUCCCAUGGCACACUAAAACCGAAUAUGUCUUAUUCAAAUAUAAAUUCUCAUAUUUCAUUUAUUUAACCAUUUAACCCUCCUAUCAAAUAAUUUUCACAAACUAAUCUUAAACUCAAAAUCACAUAAAAUCGUAACACAAAAGGCAUUCAUCUAACACUUGAUUUCUAAAUUCUAACAUCAAACUCAAAUUUCUUAGCUCAUCAACUCAUGGCCGAACAUCAAUUAUUCACCAAAACAAAAAUUAACUCAUGGGUUUUAGAGAAAAUUAAGUAAGGAAUUCAAUGAUACUAAAAAUUAACAAAAACAACCUGAAUUUCACCUUGAAUUUUUGCUUCCAAAUGGCCGAAACUUCAAAGCCACAAAUUUUAUUUUCUUUCUCCUUUGUUCGGCCUCCAAGAUGAACUACAUGCAUGUUCUUUUUUUUUUAUGCCCCAUACCGUCCAUAUCAAUUGUCAAGGUUAAAUAUCAUCACAAAUACUCCAACUUACAAAAACAACUUCAAUUCGGCCCUGAAGAUACAAACAUGCAUGGCUUUCCAUUUUAUGUUUUAUAAUACUUAUAAAAAUAAUUAUCUCACAAAUAACUUUAAAAUAAACAUAUAAAGACAUCAUGCAUUAAGCCAUUACCAUCCAUAUAUUUAUUAAUGAUAUAAUUGCCAUUCAAAACCUCAAUAUUCUAAAGACAUAACACUUUAACAUUUUCAUGAUAGCAUGCUUAUUAAUCAAUUGAUGCAUUUUAAUCCUUUUUAAUGACAUAAAGAAAGAAAGAAAAAUAUUUACCAAGAGUUUCAAACUACUUGGCCGAAUAUCAAACCUCCAAACAACCAAAAAAUUUAACUCAUGGAAUGGAUAGAAUUUGAACAAAUCACCAAAAUUAUACAUAAAUUUUCAAGAAUUUCAAAGUACUUACCUCUUUCUAAAUAUUCUCCAAGCCGAAAUCAUACAAAGAAAUUUUUUUCUUCUUUCUAAUCUCAAGUUACGGCAAUGGUAGAGUGAGGAUGAACCAACUUUGUUUUUAUCACCCAUUUCUUUUAAUAUAAGUUCAUAUUUCAUAUUAUUUAUUCAUUUAACAUUUAAUUUAUUAAUAUAAAAGGCAUAUAUUUUGUAUCCCAUGCUCCUUAUUUUAUCAUACUUCCCAUGAAACACUAACUUAACAUGUUUAUGACAUGUUCUUGCCCAUCACACUUGGUCUACCAUACUUGUCAUGGCCGGCCACUACUAAUUAGGGGGGGAAAUUGACAUGCAAGUCCCCCCCUUUUAUUUCAUGCACUAAUAGAUCCUUAUGCUUUGACCUAUCACAUUUCAAAAUUUUCUCACAUAAGUCCUAUUUGAUAAAAUUCACUUACUAUUAACAAAAUUCAAACAUGAAAUUUUCACACAUGCAUAUGUACAUAUAAUGAGCAUCAACUAUGACGGUUAAUUAUCUUUAUGACUCGGUUUAGUGGUCCCGAAACCACUUUCCGACUAGGGUCACUUUAGGGGUGUCACAACUCUUCCCCACUUAAGAAAUUUUCGUCCCCGAAAAUUUCUACCGAUGCAUAGUUUGGGAUAACGUCCUCAUAUUGAAUUAUAUCCACAAAGACAUUAGCUCAUUGAUAGCAAUUGUAAUUCAUUAUUGAUUUCGCAUCGAUUUAUAAAAUCAUUUUCUUAUCUUAAAACAAAUACAUAAACAUUUCUACAAGUAUGCACAUAUAUCUCAUUUUCUUGAUUUCAUAAGUAAUAAUCACUUAACUUAAUUCACAAAUGCAUUUCAAACACAUAUUAAGCACAUAUUAACAUGUAUAAUUCACAUCAUCAACUCACAUAUUUGUAACCCACAUUUUCAUUCAUUAAUAAGCUGUAACCUAACCGAAAGUACACAUAUACUCAAACAUCCCAAUAAAUAUCCUUUAUAACUUUAUCACAUCUCAAUAUUCAACUUAACUCAUUUCCAAAAGAAAAGUCAACUUCCACGUACCUGAACAUUUAGUUCAUUUAGCACAUUCAAUCAUAUUUAACGUUACCCGUAUACAGUCGAAUAGGCAUAAAGCCUAAUAUAAUACACUGGCAUGAGAUUUAUUCUAGCACAUAACUCGUAUAUCCAAAAUUAUCAACAUUCAUUAAAAAUUCUUUCAAACUUUCGAAUGUCGAAACUUAAUCAAAAUAAUUUCUUGAACAAGAUUAACAAAAUAGUGUCCAUUCAGCAAUAGCACAUAUAGCUCUUACAAUGCCAUAUCCUAGAUAUGGUCUUACAUAUUCUCACAUAUCGAGCCGAUGCCAUGUCCCAGACAUGGUCUUACACACUAUCUCAAAUCAAUGCCUUCGUCCCAAACGAGGUCUUACAUGAAUUCCACUUCACACGCUUAGUGCCCACUGACCGAUCUCGCACUCAUAGUGCUCGGUUAAAGGAAUUCGCACACACACAGUGCCUCUAAUUAUUCACAUACAUAGUGCUCUUAUUCAUUCCUUAAUACACAUUGAUAUGACUUAACCAAGUCUAUAAACAUCAUGUAUGUACACUUUUAAACAUAUCAUCUCAUUUAAAUUUGAAUUUGUAUAGUAAUGAGCACUUAAACUUUGCUCAAAUUACCGGCACGAAGCCUACUAGGCACGAAGGCCCGAAUACACGUCACCAGCAUGAUUACUCUUCGGGACCUAGCCCGGAUAUAACACCAGCAUGAAUGCUCUUCGAGGUUUAGCACGGAUAUAUUACUAGCACGAAUGCUCUUCGGAACUUAGCCCGGAUACAUCACUAGCACGAAUGCUCUUCGAGACUUAGCCCGGAUACAUCACUAGCACGAAUGCUCUUCGAGACUUAGCCCGGAUACAUCACUAGCACGAAUGCUCUUCGAGACUUAGCCCGGAUACAUCACUAGCAUGAAUGCUCUUCGGGACUUAGCCCGGAUAUAUCACUCUCAAUUCUCAUGUACAUAUACACAUAUAGCAAUACACAUUAGUAUAUCAUUUACAUUACUUGAAUGCAAACACAACAUGCUUAUCGACCAUUCAACUUCCAGUUCCAUAGCCACAUACAAAAAUCACAUUUAUAGUCAUAACACUCUUUCAAAAUUGCAUCACUUAUACCCUUAUAAUUCAAUCCAAAUCGAAAUUCAAAUACGAGUACAUGAUACGUACCUGAUCAACUUAAUAAUUUAGGCAUAUCUAAGUGAAGUUAUAUCGCAAAUUCUCAUAGUCAGAAGCUUGCUACAGCUCGAUCGGGAUCAAGAUUCAUUGCAAUAUAGCAAACACAUUUUAAUAACCAAAAAUCAUCACACUAUCAUUUUAUCACUUUAUGGCAUGUAUAAAUAGACUCACGCGUGCUACGGUAGUCUUAGAAUCGACUAAACCGUAGCUCUGAUACCAAUAAAAUGUAACACCCCUAUCCCGUAACCGUCGCCAGAAUAGGUAAGGGGCAUUACCUGACUUGUAACUCAUGUCAGAACAGUAAAAUUUUAAACUUUUUCUUGAAAUAAAGAUCGUUCGUUUAAAUAAGUACUAAGCACAACCAGAGGUAAAAUUUAAACUUCACUAAGUAAACAUUCAAAAGAUGCCAUUUUCGCAUGGCUUAUAUACAUUAACCAAAGAUAUUCUUCCGCCACUAGUCUAUUCUAUACAUGCCAUAAGAUAAUCCAAAACGUAGCAGUACCAAACAAUGGAUAGUGAUAGUGUGACUAGUUGCUGAUGAUCCCCGAGCCUGUAGCUUCCAAAUGAGAUCUAUAAAACAGAGGAAACAGAGUAAACGGAGUAAGCAUUACAAUGCUUAGUAAGUUUUAAGCAGUGUCAACAGAUAACAAUCAAAUUAUAACAUAGUUGUUCGUAUAUUUUAUUUCACUCUUCCUUCGGGCAUACCAUCCCUUUUCCGAAUAUGCACAUCUCAUCAUAUACAAUAGGCAGAUAAACUUUCAUAUAAAAGUGAGCUCAUGUGACAUAGAUAUAUCGUAUGAUUUCACAUAACCUCUCACACUGAUCCGAUGUCACAUAAUCAUAGGAAUAGUCUCAUAGAUUGCUCUCUAUGCAUCACAUAACUACCUUAUGAUUUAGUGCAAAUCAAGCUCACAUAUAAACUUGGAGUACAUACCUGUUUAACCAUUCGCAUUGAAUAUAUUUAUAAGCAAUUCUUAUUACGAAGUCUUACUCGGGCAUAAUCUCCACACGAAGUUAUCGGGUCUUACCCGGACAAAAUCCCCACACGUAGUCAUCGGGUCUUUAGAGCUCGGAUAUAGUACGAGCACGAAGCUUACGGACAUUAAUCAGUGAUAAUAUUCUCGCAUAAAGCCU
rnacentral:lncRNA from 1 species